GGAUUACACUCAACACAAAAAUACAUCAAUUUCAUAGCAAUUUCUCAUUGGGACAUCAACUGAUUCAUCAAACAUAUAUAAUUCACUGUAAUAAUUAAAAGGAUAAAAUGAAAAUUGCAAAAAUACCCAAAAACUCAUUCCAAUUGAUAUCUCUAAGGAUCGCUACAUAUGUUCUCACUAAUCCCCAAUUGUAAAUAACUC
rnacentral:lncRNA from 1 species